rnacentral:lncRNA from 1 species
AUGGCGCAAACCGUUUUGAAACAUUGUUUUUAAUCGGAACCACUAUCAAUGAUCCCCGUUAAUUUUUAAUUUACACCGGUUUAGUUAAAAAUUCGAGACUUAAAUAACCUACUUCUCCCACCAUAGGACAUAACUUGUCAGAUGUUUUAUUGGUUUUAAUAAAACAUCGAUUACUACGAUUACUUAUAGAAGUCUAUUAUGAUUAUAUUAUAAUAGUGAAACCAUAGAAAAAAGGUUAACUGUUGCACAAAAUGGAUAACAUAAAAUUAAAAAUAUUCAAAGAUUUUAUCUUUAACCAACAAAACCAUAUUUUACAUGAAACUGCAUUGCAAGCGAUAAUUUCUGUUCGAGAGAGAAAGUUUUUCCAAAUUAUAUCUAAAAAUGUAAGUACCAAUCUAGUAGUAUUAGUAGUAGUAAAUAAUUGAUUUUAUUAGACAUUGUAUCUCACCCAUUAAGCUUAAAAAAUGAUGAUGAUACUGAUACAAUAUAGUUCCAUUCUAUAGGACAUUUUAGUUAAAGAAUUAUCAACAGAAAAAGUAAUGAAAACUAAAAUAUACUACUUUGCCAAACUGAUAGUGCCAAGAUUUUCAGAUAAAGAAUUUAAAUCUCAUUCUUGUCUGAAUCGAAGCAGUAGUAUUGAAGUAAAAUAAUUUUUUUUAUAAUAUUGUAUGACUUAUUAGUUAUUGUAUUUUAUUUUAUGUAAACUAUAUUUUUUUUAAGAAAAUAUUGUCGUACAUUGGUCCAACUUUGUUAAGCUAUAAUUCAAAAUCUACUGUUGAAAAACGAAUUUUAUUGUUUAUAUGGUACAUAGCAAAUUGUGAGACACACAAGUGAGAAAUAAUACAUUAUUAAUAUACAAUUAACUACCUAUUAAUAUUAAUUAUUAUGUUUAUGUCGCAUCCACUUAGUGUAAUCGUAUUUUUCAUGAAAUGGAUGUUCAUUUCAUGAACUACGAUCAUAACGUGUAAGUCAAAUUUUAGUUCAUGAAACGGACAUAUAUUUUAUCCAUUUCAUGAAAUGGAAACUCUUAUUUUACACUUUGUGUAAUAUUUUAAAUUAAUUACAUCAAUAAGUAACUUUUCGUGAAAUCGAAAUAAUAACAUUGAUACUGGUACGUAUCACACCGUACUAUAUUUAUUAUUAAUAAAUAGUAAAGAUGAGAUAUCGACCGUUCAACAGAUAAAUUUUAGUCGAUAAAAUAUAUAUUUAAUCAAAAUUAAAUUGAAUCAANACAUUUUAGCAGCAAAAGUAAAAAUGUAAGUAAUCGUUAAAAUAUACAAAAUAUUAGUAAAUAAAAAUUAUAUAUUAAGAAACUUCAAAUAAAAUUAUUACUAUCAGCCAUCAGGGCUUGUCUUACUAACACGUAACAUAGCAAAUUUACGCUCAGCAGUUCACGUUUUAUUCCGUUGGAUUAAAAAUUAGAUAAUAAAUAUUUAAAUAAUAUUAUUUAAUAUUUACAUUAAAUAUUUGUUUAUAAUUUGAAAUUUACAUUAUUUUUUAGUGGCAAAAAAAAAGAGGCGAGAUUAUUAUCUCAUCAAAACGUAUGAUGUCCUGUUCGUUACAGAUCAAAAGUUUUUGGUUUAUAUAAAAACUAAUGAAGACGAAGACAUAAGGUAAUUUUUGAUUUGAUUUUUAUAAUUUGCAAUCUGUAUUAUUGAUUUAAUUAUUUUAAUCAGGUACGUUGUACCAUACGAAGAGUUAUUAAGGAUUUUCAUAUUAAAACAGAACAUGAUGGAAUUGUUAAAUUACGUAUGUCAAUGAGUCAUAAAUACAAAAUUCAGAGACCAGCAAUAGAAAAGUUUUUGUCUGUAUGUGCAAUAUGUAAUUCCAAGCAAGGAGCAAAUCGGAAACUAGUUAUAAAACCAAUUAUAACUAAAGAUUUUAAUGAAAGGGGCCAAGUCGAUUUAGUCGAUCUCCAGUCAACACCUGAUAGUAAAUAUAAAUGGAUCAUGAAUUAUCAGGACCACAAUACAAAAUUUGUAUUAUUGCAUCCACUUGAAAGGAAACGGGCUAUAGAAGUGGCAAACAGAUUACUCACUAUUUUUCUUACAUUUGGGACUCCUAAAAUACUUCAAAGUGAUAAUGAACGAGAAUUUGUGAACUCCAUUAUUAAGGAAUUAAAGGAUCUGUGGCCACAAUGUGUAAUAGUCCACGGUUGACCACAUCAUCCCCAAAGUCAGGAAAGCAUUGAAAGAAGUAAUCAAGACAUUGAGAAUAUGAUUCGUGUUUGGAUGAUGGAUAACCAAUCUAAAAAAUGGUCAGUUGGAUUACAAUUUGUACAGUUUCAAAAAAAUUCGUCUUUCCAUCGAGCAAUAGGAUGAUCGCCGUAUAAAGCUUUAUUCGGAUGUGACCCGAAAAAUGGAUUGUCAUCAUCAAAUCUUCCAUCGGAAAUAAUAAAAAAACUAACCACUGAAGAACAUCUUGAAGAAAUUUUAAAUAAUAUUCAACCUAAACAUGAAAAAGAAGGAAUUACAUCAUAUUGUAGCAUUUGCAAUAUAGAAAUGUUAACUGAGUUUGAAUUUUCCGAAAACUGUUAUUUGCAAACAACGUCAACUUGGAUCUCAAGGACAAGAAAAAGCGGCUAAAAUCAUGUUAAAGGUGUCUUUUUAAAUCAUUUUACCUAUUUAAUCUAUUUUUUUGUUUAAAAUUAUUGUACUAUCAUUGUUUUUAGGGCAGUCAAACCAGAAUUCCUGAUUUAAAAAUCGGUGAUUGCAGUGCCUAAAGUUGAUCGAGGACCGUCAGAUCUCGCCAAUGAAAUUGCAGUUAUUGUCAAUCAGAAUGAACAUAAACUUCACCAACUCAGAACUAAAUAUGGUUUAGUAAAAGGCUGGUACAAUUCAGCAAGUUUGAAACCCGCGACAUCUAAUUUUUUUUAAAAUUACUGAAGUUAAUAAUGAUAAAGAACUUACGUUAUGUGAAACAAAAUGGUGUGCUUGUUUUAACGCUUCUGUUAAGUGUAACAGUCGUUGCCAUAGCAGUAAUAAUAUUUGUAAAAAUAAGUAGUAAGAAGUAUUUUUGGUUUUUUUUUUUCAUAAUAUAAUAAUUAAUAUUUAAAUAAUUUUAAAUUUAUUGAUGUAAUUAAUUUAAAAUAUUACACAAAGUGUAAAAUAAGAGUUUCCAUUUCAUGAAAUGGAUAAAAUAUAUGUCCGGUUCAUGAACUAAAAUUUGACUUGCAUGUUAUGAUUAUAGUCCAUGAAAUGAACAUCCAUUUCAUGAAAAAUACAAUUACACUAAGUGGAUACGACAUAUAAAUUGUAUAGGUACUAUUAAUUGGGUAGAUUCAAAAUUAAAUCUUUAAUUUCAGAAAAAUAGCAAAUGGAUUCAAUGUAGUGGAAAGUACAAGUCAUACAAUAGUAAUGAACUAUUUAGAAGCUUUCAUAAAUAUUGCUGAUAAAAUAAUUAUUUGGUCUUUAAGCAGGGAUGCUAUAGUUAAUAUUUCUAAAUACAAUAGAUUAUGAAGAAAUAAUUCCUUCCCAAAUGUCUUAGGGUACAUUGGUGGUUGCCAUAUAAAUACAUUGUAUCCUUGAGAAAAGAGACAAAAAAUGGCCAAAAUUGAUAGGAAUAUAUUUUAUAGUAGAAAACAAGUUCUUCUGUCAUAAAACAGGUCAAUUUUUACUGUAUUUAUUUCUACUCAAUUAUCAACUUAAAAUAUUUUAAUUGAUUUUGCUAUAAUAUAAAAUAAAGAAAAAUAAACUUUAGUAGUUAAAUUAAUAGUUACUAUAAUAAACAAUUGAUUAAUUAAAUUUAAUCAGUUGUUUAAUUUUUAUACUUGUUUAUUUGUUCAGGGUAUAAUGGACGCUGACAUGAAGUUAAUGGAUGUCUUUCAGGUUAGCCAGGAUGUUCACAUGAUGCUCAUGUGUUUGCUGCUGCAUAAUUGGACAAAAAAUAAUAAAUGAUUCGUGAUCAGUUUUGCUACAAUCAAGUCAAAUUCUAGGUAAUGGGACAUAUCCACUUUCUGAAAGCCUUAUGAAUCCAUACAAAAAUAAUGGUCAUUUAACAAGAGAACAAACAAAUUUCACCAAAACACUCAGUAGUACAAGAGUACUAGUAUAAUUAAUUUGUUAAUUAGAAAACUAAUUUCAAGAUUUAGGAAGUUGAAGUACUUAUAAAAUCUUUUAAAAUAACAUGCACUUGAUUAAACUAAAAUUAAUUAACUUUUAUACUUUAAUUGCAGAUACAUGGAUAUUUACUAUUCAAAAAAGAAAAUUAUAACAACAGCCUGCUGCCUACACAAUAUUUGUAUAAUGAUGAAGGACAAUUUUGAUUAUGACACAGUAGGAGCUUCGGAAAAUUUAUUUAUUGUAGAUGAUGAAGAAACAACAACAGGAUAAACAAAUAGGGAUAAUAUAUACA